CGCCACUGCCUCAUACAUAACCUCACAUACUGAUACACACACACACUACACUUAAAACAUCGCUCACCCAUACAUUCAAUUUUAUAUAAAAAUAUGGACAUUACAUCAUACAUUUCCAUCUUGUUAAAAAAUGUAAUUCAGUAGACGGUAAGAUAGAUUUUG